rnacentral:rRNA from 1 species
CCUUUCCUGCGGAAUAGCUCCGGGAAACUGGAAUUAAUACCGCAUACGCCCUACGGGGGAAAGAUUUAUCGGGGAAGGAUUGGCCCGCGUUGGAUUAGCUAGUUGGUGGGGUAAAGGCCUACCAAGGCGACGAUCCAUAGCUGGUCUGAGAGGAUGAUCAGCCACAUUGGGACUGAGACACGGCCCAAACUCCUACGGGAGGCAGCAGUGGGGAAUAUUGGACAAUGGGCGCAAGCCUGAUCCAGCCAUGCCGCGUGAGUGAUGAAGGCCUUAGGGUUGUAAAGCUCUUUCACCGAUGAAGAUAAUGACGGUAGUCGGAGAAGAAGCCCCGGCUAACUUCGUGCCAGCAGCCGCGGUAAUACGAAGGGGGCUAGCGUUGUUCGGAAUUACUGGGCGUAAAGCGCACGUAGGCGGAUAUUUAAGUCAGGGGUGAAAUCCCGCAGCUCAACUGCGGAACUGCCUUUGAUACUGGGUAUCUUGAGUAUGGAAGAGGUAAGUGGAAUUCCGAGUGUAGAGGUGAAAUUCGUAGAUAUUCGGAGGAACACCAGUGGCGAAGGCGGCUUACUGGUCCAUUACUGACG